rnacentral:misc_RNA from 1 species
GGAAACUGCUGUUCCUGAAGCCACUCCACAUUAUCAGUGUUGGGUAAUGUAUGAGUAUUUAGACAAGAAAAGCUAAAAGAAUCUGCUUCAAUUGUCUCUAAAUCAAUAAUUUCAGUGUCAAAGUAUUAGUCCAAUUCUCUUGUAGGAUAUCAUGUUGCAUUUAUUUUGUCCGAGAUGUCAUAUGUGUUAGAAACCGAGGUAAUAUGGGCUAUCUUUGUCCCCACCUCAAUAGUUGACUUUUGGGGCGUGGUUCUCUAAGAUGCUUUAAGUACUUAAACAUGUUUAGGCUGUCAGCACUUUCAUCUCACCCUUUUUUUUUCCCUAAAUCAAUGUCAUUA